GACGAACGCUGGCGGCGUGCUUAACACAUGCAAGUCGAACGGAAAGGCCCUGCUUUUGUGGGGUGCUCGAGUGGCGAACGGGUGAGUAACACGUGAGUAACCUGCCCUUGACUUUGGGAUAACUUCAGGAAACUGGGGCUAAUACCGGAUAGGAGCUCCUGCUGCAUGGUGGGGGUUGGAAAGUUUCGGCGGUUGGGGAUGGACUCGCGGCUUAUCAGCUUGUUGGUGGGGUAGUGGCUUACCAAGGCUUUGACGGGUAGCCGGCCUGAGAGGGUGACCGGCCAAAUUGGGACUGAGAUAAGGCCCAGAAUACAACGGGAGGCAGCAGUGGGGAAUAUUGCAAAAUGGGCGGAAGCCUGAUGCAGCAACGCCGCGUGCGGGAUGACGGCCUUCGGGUUGUAAACCGAUUUCGCCUGUGACGAAGCGUGAGUGACGGUAAUGGGUAAAGAAGCACCGGCUAACUACGUG
rnacentral:rRNA from 1 species